rnacentral:rRNA from 1 species
UACGUAGGAUGCAAGCGUUGUCCGGAUUUACUGGGCGUAAAGGGCUCGUAGGCGGCCAACUAAGUCAGACGUGAAAUCCCUCGGCUUAACCGGGGAACUGCGUCUGAUACUGGAUGGCUAGAGUUUGGGAGAGGGAUGCGGAAUUCCAGGUGUAGCGGUGAAAUGCGUAGAUAUCUGGAGGAACACCGGUGGCGAAGGCGGCAUCCUGGACCAACACUGACGCUGAGGAGCGAAAGCCAGGGGAGCAAACGGG